rnacentral:rRNA from 1 species
UACGGAGGGUGCAAGCGUUAAUCGGAAUUACUGGGCGUAAAGGGUGCGUAGGCGGUUGUUUAAGUCUGUUGUGAAAUCCCCCGGCUCAACCGGGGAAUGGCUGGGCAUACUGGCGAUCUUGAGCAGUCUAGGGGCAGAUGGAACAGACGGUGGAGCGGUGAAAUGCGUAGAUAUCGUCUGGAACGCCAAAGGUGAAAACAGUCUGCUGGGGACUUGCUGACGCUGAGACACGAAAGCCAGGGGAGCGAACGGG